AUUGAACGCUGGCGGCAGGCCUAACACAUGCAAGUCGAGCGAGCGGCUGACGGGUGAGUAAUGUAUGGGGACUGCGCGAUAGAGGGGGAUAACUACUGGAAACGGUGGAUAAUACCGCAUACCAUCGGAUAACCCAUAUGGGAUUCGCUAGUAGGUGGGGUAAAGGCUCACCUAGGCGACGAUCUCUUGCUGGUCUGUGAGGAUGAUAAGCCACACGGAGACUGAAACACGGACCAGACUCUAAGGGAGGCAGCAUUGGGGAAUAGUGCACAAUCGGCGCAAGCCUGAUGCAGCCAUGCCGCGUGUAUGAAGAAGGCCUUAGGUUUGUAAAGUACUUUCAGCGGGGAGGCGUUGCCCGCAGAAGAAGCACCGGCCAACACCGUGCCAGCAGCCGCGGUAAUUC
rnacentral:rRNA from 1 species